rnacentral:rRNA from 1 species
AAUCUUCCACAAUGGGCGAAAGCCUGAUGGAGCAACGCCGCGUGAGUGAAGAAGGUUUUCGGAUCGUAAAACUCUGUUGUAAGGGAAGAACAAGUACAGUAGUAACUGGCUGUACCUGACCGUAACCUAAUAAAAAGCCACGGGUAACUAACUGCCAGCAGCCGCGGUAAUACGUAGGUGGCAAGCGUUGUCCGGAAUUAUUGGGCGUAAAGCGCGCGCAGGCGGUCCUUUAAGUCUGAUGUGAAAGCCCACGGCUCAACCGUGGAGGGUCAUUGGAAACUGGGGGACUUGAGUGCAGAAGAGGAAAGUGGAGUUCCAAGUGUAGCGGUGAAAUGCGUAGAGAUUUGGAGGAACACCAGUGGCGAAGGCGACUUUCUGGUCUGUAACUGACGCUGAGGCGCGAAAGCGUGGGGAGCAAAC